rnacentral:tRNA from 1 species
GAGGGUAUAGCUCAGUGGUAGAGUGCAUGCUUAGCAUGCACAAGGUCCUGGGUUCAAUUCCCAGUACCUCCA